UACACCGCAGGUCCCUAUUAUCAUUUAGCUUUUCAUUCUGUGAUUCUCCAUAGGAGGGAGUUGGGGGUAACAUCCUUUCAGGCUUGAUGUUCUAUUAAGAAGUGGGUGUUCUUUUUACCCUUAUUCACAAACUCCCAGUGGCGACCGCCUUGAGUGGGCUGUUUCUCUUCUUAGUCCAGCUAAAUCUGUGGGACAGCUCAGAGGGAUUUUCCUCCCUGAGUCCCCGACAGCAGUGGGGCACCUCUGUGGGCGCCCCGUUUCCAAAACAACUUUUACAUGGAUGAUGGCCAGAGGUGCAAAGACUCGUAUUCCAAAUUCACUUCGACCUCUCCUCCAUCUUGGGAAGAAAACCGCCAAGCCACCUUGGCAUCAUGAGGAGAGCCAGCUCAAAAGCACAAGUUAACACCACAACGAUGGUGGAUAGGAGGGUGUGAAACUCUGGGGCCUCGACAGCAUCAUUGAGUUAUUGCUGAUGAACCAAUUUAGGCAAAACUCCAUCUGCAGACUUCUUACAUGAGGUGUUCCUUACCUGCCCGCCUCACCUGUCCGUUCUGAGGACCCCAGCACCGUCCCAUGAAGAACGAAAGCAGGCAUCAGGCCACUCCUUCAUGCCCGCCUGUUGUGGUCCAGGCGUCGGAAGGACUCUUGGUGAUCUGUCCACUUCAAGCUUUGCUGUCUCACUUGGAAUGUUGCGGUAACAACAUAUGCAUUCUACCCACUGGUUUUGCCUAUUCCCAUUCAGAUACUACAAUGGAACCAGGGAUGUACUUUCCUGAAGGCAGACCUGAUGGUGCUGCUUCUCUGCUCACCAUCAUUUAACGACCUUAUUAUCUACGGAUAUCUGCAGGCGUCUAGGUCCACCGUGGAAGGCCUGGCUCCAUCUGGGCCCUGCCUCCUCUGCCGUCUCACCUUUCCCCUCAUCUUCCAUAGAUAUAAAAAUCUACCCACGUCCAACUACCUUAGCAUCUGGAGUGUGACCCAUGCUAAUACCUCCUUGGUGCCUUUAUUGCUGCCACUGCCCUAACUCUGGAUUGCAUUCUCUACCUUGUUCUCCCUGCACCUCCUUUUUUGAGUCACGUCUUUUUUUUUUUUUCCAAAAUAAGGCCUGGCUCUGUCACCCAGGCUGGAGUGCAGUGGCG